UAAAACUAUCAAUUUUAUUUUGCCCCGAGCCUCAAUUUUGUUUAUACCGUCUCUGCUCUGGUGCACUCGCCUACUUCGUACAUUACACUGCCCGCCGGCUCGCUGGCCUCCUGAUUGGCCAGAUUCUUAACAUCAACUCUUGUAAAAAAGCGGAACAACUAUUUUCCUCCUUUUUUAGGUUGUCCAUGGGGGUGGACGUGCCGAAGCACAUAGUCGGUCUCUUUGUCGACUAUUGCAGGCGAACAUGUCCGGCGAAUUCAACAGUGUGUCACUUCUGCAUAUUUGAAAUGCAGAUGUCAUAAAACUUCAUUGUUGAUACUUGAAAAGUAGGUAGCUCAUAAACCUCUUUCUUCGGCACCAUUAAUUACUUUGUUUGUGUUCCUAACAUUAUUUACAGUUUUAAUUUGUGUUGUAGAUGCCUGCUCACUGUCAGGAUUAGCACGGGUUGAAGGGAGGGAGCGUUCGUUGCCCCAUGGAUGUCUGCCAUGUUCGAGUACGUCCAUGACGUGAUUUGGCACCGCACCACCAUUUCGUGCACGAUUUUCCUCUAGGCUGGUGGCAUAAGUACAUUUGAUGUACACAAGAAAGGUUAUGACGAGAGGAGAACACAGAUCUCAAGUGUUGCUUGAUAAUUUCUACUCAUUUAUUAGAUGUAUUG
rnacentral:lncRNA from 1 species